CUACUACUCCCUCCGUCUGGAAAUACUUGUCCGAGGAAUGGAUGUAUCUAGAUGUAUUUUAGUUCUAGAUACAUCCAUUUGUAUCCAUUUCUACGACAAGUAUUUCCGAACAGAGGGAGUACUAU
rfam:Triticum urartu cultivar G1812 contig148801, whole genome shotgun sequence.